rnacentral:rRNA from 1 species
UACGGGGGGAGCAAGCGUUGUUCGGAUUUCCUGGGCGUAAAGGGCGCGUAGGCGGCCAGCACAAGUCAGUUGUGAAAUCUCCGAGCUUAACUCGGAAAGGUCAACUGAUACUGUGCGGCUAGAGUGCGGAAGGGGCAACUGGAAUUCUUGGUGUAGCGGUGAAAUGCGUAGAUAUGCGGAGGAACACCGAUGGCGAAGGCAAUCCCCUGGGCCUGCACUGACGCUCAUGCACGAAAGCGUGGGGAGCAAACAGG